rnacentral:rRNA from 1 species
AACGUAGGUUCCGAGCGUUAUCCGGAUUUACUGGGCGUAAAGCGCGUUCAGGCGGUUUGGCAAGUCGGUCAUGAAAUCUCUCGGCUCAACCGGGAGAGGUUGUCCGAUACUGCUGGACUUGAGGGCAGUAGAGGGUGGUGGAAUUCCGGGUGUAGUGGUGAAAUGCGUAGAUAUCCGGAGGAACACCAGUGGCGAAAGCGGCCACCUGGACUGCACCUGACGCUGACACGCGAAAGCUAGGGGAGCGAACGGG